rnacentral:lncRNA from 1 species
GCAUCAGAUUCAAGCAAUCCCUGGGGAUAUUGAUCUCUAUUCCAUAGUGUUUCAGGUAAAAGUAGAUGUUAUGUUAGAAUUUAAAAUAGAAAAUUUUUCAAAUGCAACCUAAUGAACCAAUCCCCAUUGGGUUUUUUUACUUUAGCUGUCUACCACUACCAUUGACUGGCUGAUGAGUCCACACAUCAAGGCUUGGCCACCAUUAACUUCCCCCAGCCUC